CCUACGGGAGGCAGCAGUAGGGAAUAUUGCUCAAUGGGGGAAACUCUGAAGCAGCAACGCCGCGUGGAGGAUGAAGGUUUUCUGAUUGUAAACUCCUUUUUUUAGAGAAGAUAAUGUCGGUAUCUAACUAAUAAUCACCGGCUAACUCCGUGCCAGCAGCCGCGGUAAUACGGAGGAUGCAAGCGUUACUCGGAAUCACUGGGCGUAAAGAGCGCGUAGGCGGGAUAGCAAGUCAGAUGUGAAAUCCUAUGGCUUAACCAGAGAACUGCAUUUGAAACUGUUAUUCUAGAUUAUAGGCGAGGUAGGUGGAAUGCAUGGUGUAGGGGUAAAAUCCGUAGAGAUCAAGAGGAAUACUCAUUGCGAAGGCGACCUGCUAGAACAUAACUGACGCUGAUGCGCGAAAGCGUGGGGAGCAAACAGGAUUAGAUACCCCUGUAGUC
rnacentral:rRNA from 1 species